UGCUUCCUACGGGAGGCAGCAGUGGGGAAUAUUGCACAAUGGGGGAAACCCUGAUGCAGCAACGCCGCGUGGGUGAAGGAGCGUUUCGGCGCGUAAUGCCCUGUCAGCGGGGAAGAAGAAAGACGGUACCCGACCAAGAAGCCCCGGCUAACUACGUGCCAGCAGCCGCGGUAAUACGUAGGGGGCGAGCGUUAUCCGGAAUUACUGGGUGCAAAGGGAGCGUAGACGGCGAGGUAAGCCUGAAGUGGAAGCCCGCGGCCCAACCGCGGAACUGCCUUGG
rnacentral:rRNA from 1 species